AUGAGAGUUUGAUCCUGGCUCAGAAUCAACGCUGGCGGCGUGCCUAACACAUGCAAGUCGAACGCGAAAGUCCCGCAAGGGAUCAGUAGAGUGGCAAACGGGUGAGUAACACGUGGGUGACCUGCCUUCGAGUGGGGGAUAACGUUCCGAAAGGGACGCUAACACCGCAUAACAUGCUGCCUUUGAACAGGCGGACAUCAAAACCGGGGAUCGCAAGACCCGGUGCUGGAAGAGGGGCCCGCGCCUGAUUAGCUAGUUGGUGAGGUAACGGCUCACCAAGGCGACGAUCAGUAUCCGGCCUGAGAGGGCGGACGGACACACUGGGACUGAGACACGGCCCAGACUCCUACGGGAGGCAGCAGUGGGGAAUUGUUCGCAAUGGGCGCAAGCCUGACGACGCAACGCCGCGUGGAGGAUGAAGACCUUCGGGUCGUAAACUCCUUUCGAUCGAG
rnacentral:rRNA from 1 species